rfam:Fukomys damarensis contig104099, whole genome shotgun sequence.
UAUCCUAAAAAACAAAACAAAAAAAAAUUGGAACGAUUCACAGAAGAUUAGCAUGGCCCCUGCUCAAGGAUGGCACGCGAAUUUGUGAAGCAUUCCAUAAAAAA